rnacentral:rRNA from 1 species
AUUGAACGCUGGCGGCAGGCCUAACACAUGCAAGUCGAGCGGAUGAAGGGAGCUUGCUCCUGGAUUCAGCGGCGGACGGGUGAGUAAUGCCUAGGAAUCUGCCUGGUAGUGGGGGAUAACGCCCGGAAACGGGCGCUAAUACCGCAUACGUCCUGAGGGAGAAAGUGGGGGAUCUUCGGACCUCACGCUAUCAGAUGAGCCUAGGUCGGAUUAGCUAGUUGGUGGGGUAAAGGCCUACCAAGGCGACGAUCCGUAACUGGUCUGAGAGGAUGAUCAGUCACACUGGAACUGAGACACGGUCCAGACUCCUACGGGAGGCAGCAGUGGGGAAUAUUGGACAAUGGGCGAAAGCCUGAUCCAGCCAUGCCGCGUGUGUGAAGAAGGUCUUCGGAUUGUAAAGCACUUUAAGGUGGGAGGAAGGGCAGUAAGUUAAUACCUUGCUGUUUUGACGUUACCAACAGAAUAAGCACCGGCUAACUUCGUG